rnacentral:rRNA from 1 species
CCUACGGGCGGCAGCAGUGGGGAAUAUUGGACAAUGGGGGGAACCCUGAUCCAGCGACGCCGCGUGAGUGAAGAAGUAUUUCGGUAUGUAAAGCUCUAUCAGCAGGGAAGAAAGAAAUGACGGUACCUGACUAAGAAGCCCCGGCUAACUACGUGCCAGCAGCCGCGGUAAUACGGAGGGGGCAAGCGUUAUCCGGAUUUACUGGGUGUAAAGGGAGCGUAGGCGGCGAUGCAAGUCUGAAGUGAAAGGCGGGGGCUCAACCCCCGGACUGCUUGGGAAACUGUAUGGCUGGAGUGCAGGAGAGGUAAGUGGAAUUCAUAGUGUAGCGGUGAAAUGCGUAGAUAUUAGGCGGAACACCAGUGGCGAAGGCGGCUUACUGGACUGUAACUGACGUUGAGGCUCGAAAGCGUGGGGAGCAAACAGGAUUAGAUACCCCGGUAGUC